UUGAUAUUUUGAACGAAAGGGAAUACGGUUCCAAUUCCGUCUCACUGUCGAUGAUGGUGAGUAUCCGUUUGUUAUUAAAUAUGGGCCUCGUGCUCAUCCUGGCAACAGGAACGACCAUAAAGAAGCCGUCGAGAGAUAUCGGAAGAGUUUUCUUUUCUGUUUUAUAGCCGUACUACCAUGGAAGUCUUUCGCAGAGAGAUAUGGUAGAUGGGCUAGAAGAGCAUGACAUAUACUGUUGUGUCGAUAUUUUCUCCUCGGACCUUGAAAAUUUAUGGUGGGGACACGCAAACUUCUCAACAGGCCGUACCAAUAUCCGCAGCUGGUCUCCAAGGUGAAGAGUCUCUAGUCGAUAGAAUAAUGUAGGUAAGGGAAGUCGGCAAAUUAGAUCCGUAACUUCGGGAUAAGGAUUGGCUCUGAAGAUUGAGAUAGUCGGGCUUGAUUGGGAAACAAUAACAUGGUUUAUGUGCUCGUUCUGGGUAAAUAGAGUUUCUAGCAUUUAUGUUAGUUACUUGUUCCCCGGAUAGUUUAGUUACGUAGCCAAUUGUGGAACUUUCUUGCUAAAAUUUUUAAGAAUACUAUUUGGGUUAAACCAAUUAGUUCUUAUCAAUUAUAACGAUUAUCAAUUAACAAUCAAUUCAGAACUGGCACGGACUUGGGGAAUCCGACUGUCUAAUUAAAACAAAGCAUUGUGAUGGCCCUAGCGGGUGUUGACACAAUGUGAUUUCUGCCCAGUGCUCUGAAUGUCAAAGUGAAGAAAUUCAAGUAAGCGCGGGUCAACGGCGGGAGUAACUAUGACUCUCUUAAGGAGACUCUCUUAACGACAGUGUCGUGCAGGAUGUGACGCUCCCGAAACAACAAACCACAUAAUGCAAAAUGUUAUCGAUCGCAUGGGAGGCGCGUAGCUAGACACACUGCGUAGUAAAUCGAUCAGCGGGACUUGAGAGAGAGCUGCGUGUCAUUUUGACCAGUCUGCAGUGCGAUCCUGCUUAUAACCGGACUGUGCCUACGACAGAUCAUUGAUUGACGAAUCAAUGUGACGACGACCUUUGGUGAGCCCACCCAAUAAUAACACGACGAAUCAC
rnacentral:ncRNA from 1 species